rnacentral:rRNA from 1 species
UUACCGAGUUUACAACUCCCAAACCCCUGUGAACAUACCACUUGUUGCCUCGGCGGAUCAGCCCGCUCCCGGUAAAACGGGACGGCCCGCCAGAGGACCCCUAAACUCUGUUUCUAUAUGUAACUUCUGAGUAAAACCAUAAAUAAAUCAAAACUUUCAACAACGGAUCUCUUGGUUCUGGCAUCGAUGAAGAACGCAGCAAAAUGCGAUAAGUAAUGUGAAUUGCAGAAUUCAGUGAAUCAUCGAAUCUUUGAACGCACAUUGCGCCCGCCAGUAUUCUGGCGGGCAUGCCUGUUCGAGCGUCAUUUCAACCCUCAAGCACAGCUUGGUGUUGGGACUCGCGUUAAUUCGCGUUCCCCAAAUUGAUUGGCGGUCACGUCGAGCUUCCAUAGCGUAGUAGUAAAACCCUCGUUACUGGUAAUCGUCGCGGCCACGCCGUUAAACCCCAACUUCUGAAUGUUGACCUCGGAUCAGGUAGGAAUACCCGCUGAACUUAAGCAUAUCAAUAAGCGGAGG